rnacentral:sRNA from 1 species
UUCUCCUGUGGUUUUGGAUCUGCUGGUUUCCAAGUUUGACAAAAGCGGAGGCAAGAACAGGGCUAUCGAAUAUGACAAUUUCA